AGUGAACGCUGGCGGUAGGCCUAACACAUGCAAGUCGAACGGCAGCACAGUAAGAGCUUGCUCCUACGGGUGGCGAGUGGCGGACGGGUGAGGAAUACAUCGGAAUCUACUUUUUCGUGGGGGAUAACGUAGGGAAACUUACGCUAAUACCGCAUACGACCUACGGGUGAAAGCAGUGGAUCUUCGGACCUUGCGCGACUGAAUGAGCCGAUGUCGGAUUAGCUAGUUGGCGGGGUAAAGGCCCACCAAGGCGACGAUCCGUAGCUGGUCUGAGAGGAUGAUCGGCCACACUGGAACUGAGACACGGUCCAGACUCCUACGGGAGGCAGCAGUGGGGAAUAUUGGACAAUGGGCGCAAGCCUGAUCCAGCCAUGCCGCGUGGGUGAAGAAGGCCUUCGGGUUGUAAAGCCCUUUUGUUGGGAAAGAACAGCAGCAGGUUAAUCCCCCGCUGUUCUGACGGUACCCAAAGAGUAAGCACCGGCUAACUUCGUG
rnacentral:rRNA from 1 species